CUUCUACUCUCUCCGUUUCAAAUUACUUGUCACAAAAAUGGAUGUAUCUAGACGUAUUUUAGUUCUAGAUACAUCCAUUUUCAAGACAACUAAUUCCGAACGGAGGAAGUAGAUG
rnacentral:pre_miRNA from 1 species